rnacentral:rRNA from 1 species
UUAAGCGACUAAGCGUACACGGUGGAUGCCCUGGCAGUCAGAGGCGAUGAAGGACGUGCUAAUCUGCGAUAAGCGUCGGUGAGGUGAUAUGAACCGUUAUAACCGGCGAUUUCCGAAUGGGGAAACCCAGUGUGUUUCGACACACUAUCAUUAACUGAAUCCAUAGGUUAAUGAGGCGAACCGGGGGAACUGAAACAUCUAAGUACCCCGAGGAAAAGAAAUCAACCGAGAUUCCCCCAGUAGCGGCGAGCGAACGGGGAGGAGCCCAGAGCCUGAAUCAGUGUGUGUGUUAGUGGAAGCGUCUGGAAAGGCGUGCGAUACAGGGUGACAGCCCCGUACACAAAAAUGCACAUAUUGUGAGCUCGAUGAGUAGGGCGGGACACGUGGUAUCCUGUCUGAAUAUGGGGGGACCAUCCUCCAAGGCUAAAUACUCCUGACUGACCGAUAGUGAACCAGUACCGUGAGGGAAAGGCGAAAAGAACCCCGGCGAGGGGAGUGAAAAAGAACCUGAAACCGUGUACGUACAAGCAGUGGGAGCCUCUUAAUGGGGUGACUGCGUACCUUUUGUAUAAUGGGUCAGCGACUUAUAUUCUGUAGCAAGGUUAACCGAAUAGGGGAGCCGAAGGGAAACCGAGUCUUAACUGGGCGUUAAGUUGCAGGGUAUAGACCCGAAACCCGGUGAUCUAGCCAUGGGCAGGUUGAAGGUUGGGUAACACUAACUGGAGGACCGAACCGACUAAUGUUGAAAAAUUAGCGGAUGACUUGUGGCUGGGGGUGAAAGGCCAAUCAAACCGGGAGAUAGCUGGUUCUCCCCGAAAGCUAUUUAGGUAGCGCCUCGUGAAUUCAUCUCCGGGGGUAGAGCACUGUUUCGGCAAGGGGGUCAUCCCGACUUACCAACCCGAUGCAAACUGCGAAUACCGGAGAAUGUUAUCACGGGAGACACACGGCGGGUGCUAACGUCCGUCGUGAAGAGGGAAACAACCCAGACCGCCAGCUAAGGUCCCAAAGUCAUGGUUAAGUGGGAAACGAUGUGGGAAGGCCCAGACAGCCAGGAUGUUGGCUUAGAAGCAGCCAUCAUUUAAAGAAAGCGUAAUAGCUCACUGGUCGAGUCGGCCUGCGCGGAAGAUGUAACGGGGCUAAACCAUGCACCGAAGCUGCGGCAGCGACACUAUGUGUUGUUGGGUAGGGGAGCGUUCUGUAAGCCUGUGAAGGUGGCCUGUGAGGGUUGCUGGAGGUAUCAGAAGUGCGAAUGCUGACAUAAGUAACGAUAAAGCGGGUGAAAAGCCCGCUCGCCGGAAGACCAAGGGUUCCUGUCCAACGUUAAUCGGGGCAGGGUGAGUCGACCCCUAAGGCGAGGCCGAAAGGCGUAGUCGAUGGGAAACAGGUUAAUAUUCCUGUACUUGGUGUUACUGCGAAGGGGGGACGGAGAAGGCUAUGUUGGCCGGGCGACGGUUGUCCCGGUUUAAGCGUGUAGGCUGGUUUUCCAGGCAAAUCCGGAAAACCAAGGCUGAGGCGUGAUGACGAGGCACUACGGUGCUGAAGUGACAAAUGCCCUGCUUCCAGGAAAAGCCUCUAAGCAUCAGGUAACAUCAAAUCGUACCCCAAACCGACACAGGUGGUCAGGUAGAGAAUACCAAGGCGCUUGAGAGAACUCGGGUGAAGGAACUAGGCAAAAUGGUGCCGUAACUUCGGGAGAAGGCACGCUGAUAUGUAGGUGAAGCGACUUGCUCGUGGAGCUGAAAUCAGUCGAAGAUACCAGCUGGCUGCAACUGUUUAUUAAAAACACAGCACUGUGCAAACACGAAAGUGGACGUAUACGGUGUGACGCCUGCCCGGUGCCGGAAGGUUAAUUGAUGGGGUUAGCGGUAACGCGAAGCUCUUGAUCGAAGCCCCGGUAAACGGCGGCCGUAACUAUAACGGUCCUAAGGUAGCGAAAUUCCUUGUCGGGUAAGUUCCGACCUGCACGAAUGGCGUAAUGAUGGCCAGGCUGUCUCCACCCGAGACUCAGUGAAAUUGAACUCGCUGUGAAGAUGCAGUGUACCCGCGGCAAGACGGAAAGACCCCGUGAACCUUUACUAUAGCUUGACACUGAACAUUGAGCCUUGAUGUGUAGGAUAGGUGGGAGGCUUUGAAGUGUGGACGCCAGUCUGCAUGGAGCCGACCUUGAAAUACCACCCUUUAAUGUUUGAUGUUCUAACGUUGGCCCGUAAUCCGGGUUGCGGACAGUGUCUGGUGGGUAGUUUGACUGGGGCGGUCUCCUCCUAAAGAGUAACGGAGGAGCACGAAGGUUGGCUAAUCCUGGUCGGACAUCAGGAGGUUAGUGCAAUGGCAUAAGCCAGCUUGACUGCGAGCGUGACGGCGCGAGCAGGUGCGAAAGCAGGUCAUAGUGAUCCGGUGGUUCUGAAUGGAAGGGCCAUCGCUCAACGGAUAAAAGGUACUCCGGGGAUAACAGGCUGAUACCGCCCAAGAGUUCAUAUCGACGGCGGUGUUUGGCACCUCGAUGUCGGCUCAUCACAUCCUGGGGCUGAAGUAGGUCCCAAGGGUAUGGCUGUUCGCCAUUUAAAGUGGUACGCGAGCUGGGUUUAGAACGUCGUGAGACAGUUCGGUCCCUAUCUGCCGUGGGCGCUGGAGAACUGAGGGGGGCUGCUCCUAGUACGAGAGGACCGGAGUGGACGCAUCACUGGUGUUCGGGUUGUCAUGCCAAUGGCACUGCCCGGUAGCUAAAUGCGGAAGAGAUAAGUGCUGAAAGCAUCUAAGCACGAAACUUGCCCCGAGAUGAGUUCUCCCUGACUCCUUGAGAGUCCUGAAGGAACGUUGAAGACGACGACGUU